AGAGUAAAAUUGUAAGCAUUUGUUUUUUUAUAUAUCUGCAAAUAUUUUCCAAGUCAUCGGUAUAAAUAAAAUAAAAUAAUAAAAAACAACAUUUCUGUUAAUGAUUCAUUUUCUACAUUUUCAUUUGGUUGCAAUUGAACCUUUUUGUUCAUUUUUUGUUCUGUUUGCACCGUUGUCAAUAAAGGUUGGUGAAUUGUAGUAGGCACUUUACACAUCCACUGAAGAAAAUAGUUCCACAGCACAUUUGAAUAAGGAGGACUAUAUUUAUCUAAUUUCAUUGAGAACGUUUGUGAGUGCUACAUCAAUUUUACAUUUGUUAAACCGAUGAAGCACUCUCAAAAUUAAUCUUGUGUUUCUCGGAAAACGUAAAAUUGUUAACUGCGGAUGAAUAUGCGGUUUCAAAAUCAAGCGGAUUUUCUUCAGCAGUCCGUUGGCGCGGAGUCUGCAGGUUGGCUGUGCUACGAAAUAAUCUGUAUCUUGGGCAGAGGCCUUUCGAGAACGAGCUGAGGCGGGUUUUUUUUCUUUAAAAUUUGAAUUAUAGUAAUGCACUGGACAACAGAGAGCUAAAGAUGGGGCAGAAAAAAUCUCUGGGGCAGAAAACGGAAGAGGGGCAGCUAUAUUGAAACGAAGCCUUCGUUUAAUGAGUAAUGGAUACUACGACUCUAAUGGGGAACCAACAGUUUCCUACCAAGAGACGAGAGUCAGGAGUAGGACAAAAAGAUGCCCAGUUUGCAGUAAAAUGCAAGAUAACCACCAAGAGAAUGAUUUGCUUUUCACUGUAAAAGAGGGGAUUGUCAGUCAGUUACAACGUAAUGGGAUCAUCUUUGUCAUCUUGCUCUUGUCUGGAUGUAGCUGCAUAUUUUCUGCUCUGCACUUAAGACCUUCAGAGUCAAUAGUUUCAGUAACUCCAGUGGACAUGAAGGAUCAAGAAAAGCUCCCAGAGGGUUUCCACGAAGAUCUGCAGGAGAUGAAGAGGAAACUCGAAUACCCUUGGCCCAACUUUGCUUCCCCGUCGGGGAAUCGAACCCCGGUCUCCCGCGUGACAGGCGGGGAUACUCACCACUAUACUAACGAGGAGAUUUGAGAGCAACAGACCAUGUAGAUUGUUUGGGAUGCCUUUACAACAAGAACCCAUAGGCCCAAACAUUGUCAUUCAGCUCCAUUGAAACGAAGCCUUCGUUUAAUGAAUAAUGGAUACUACGACUCUAAUGGGAAACCAACAAUUUCCUAUUGAGAGACGAGAGUCAGGAGUAGGACAAAAAGACGCCCAGUUUGCAGUAAAAUGCAAGAUAACCACCAAGAGAAUGAUUUGCUUUUCACUGUAAAAGAUGGGAUUAUCAGUCAGUUACAACGUAAUGGGAUCAUCUUUGUCAUCUUGCUCUUGUCUGGAUGUAGCUGCAUAUUUUCUGCUCUGCACUUAAGACCUUCAGAGUCAAUAGUUUCUGUAACUCCAGUGGACAUGGAUCAAGAAAAGCUCCCAGAGGGUUUCCACGAAGAUCUGCAGGAGGUGAUGCAGAAACUCAAAUACCUUUUACCACCAGCGGAUCUGUUGCCCAACUUUGCUCUGGAGUCUCAAGGUGCCAGACUUGUGCACACGAUGACCUCAGGAGCAUUUGAGAGCAACAGACCAUGCAGAUUAUUUGGGAUGCCUUUACAAGAAGAACCUAUAGGCCCAAACAUUGUCAUUCAGGUCUGUACAACACUCAGAACAUUAAAUGAAUAUUAGGCAAAGUGGUGUUUCUUUUUGAUAAAAUAUUAGGCUGUACGAUUUCCUUUUUUCUUAGUCUUGGUGUAAAUGACUUUUCUAAUAUUUUGUGUCUCCUCAUGUCAUGUAUUUGUUGACAUGAUAAUCGAUGCUUUUAUUUUGAAAGGGCUUGGAACGGUAAGGUGACUGACGCAAAACGGUAGAAGUAGCGCGGCCGUUGGGGCAGAGAAAGUUGACAUGAACGAGUCGGAGUGAAGGGGAGAUAGUUGGGGUGUGAUUCAGGGUGACAAUCGGUUGGUUGGCGCUUGGUUGAUGAGGGAACAAGGUGAGUGUGUUGUCGUGUAUAUAUGUUUAUUUUUCCUGCGGAACGUGUAUUUCUCUAUUGGGUGUGACGGUUGUGUUUUGCCACUAGAUGGUGCUGAUUUACUAUGGUCAACCGUCAACAGUUGAAAUACGUUGCAUUUUAUUUCGUGACAGGGAUUUUGGAUUUUAAUAAAUACAUCUAUUGUAAAACAUAAUUUUAGCACAGAAGGUAAAGGAUUUAUAUGUUAAGGUCAGAACAACACUGUUUGAGUACUAAUGUUAUUUUAUUUGUAUAUUUUGUAGCUCUUACGGUGAGUUCACAAUAAAAGGCUGUUCAAUAAAGGACUGUGAACCAUCAGUUUAAGAGACCAUCUUAUUCAACCGGGACGCUACACUUGGUACCCCACCUAAACUUUGUUUUAUACUCUGACUUCAGGGAAGAACUCACCUGAAUCCUGGACAAUGCUGGGCCUUUGCAGGAUUCCCAGGACGUUUAUCCGUCCAACUGUCCCAUAAAGCCACUGUCACUCAUGUGUCGCUGGGUCAUAUUCCUAAGAUAAUAUCCCCAUCUUCCAGAAUCUCCAGUGCUCCGAGGGAAUUCUCUGUCUAUGGAUAGAAGGACAUAAACGAUGAGGAGAGUUUUUUGGGAGCUUUCCAAUAUGAAGAAGAUGGCAGCAGGAUACAGACCUUCAAAAUUCCUGAUUAUAAAACUGACUCCUUCACCCAUGUGAGCCUACAGGUGAACAGCAACUGGGGCCAUCCAGACUACACAUGCCUCUAUAACUUUAGAGUGCAUGGAGAACUUGCUGCAUGAAGAGGACACCAUGUUUCAUAUAUGUGUUGUAUUUGUUUAAUGUGUUUAAUUUAGUAAAAGUAUUUAUUUAAAGAGUGAAACACAGUCCUCACAACUAGCUGCUGUCAGAACCUGGGAAGCAGUGCUUCGUGUUAAAACUGUUUUUCUUUAUUUCAGAGAUUCUGUUACAGCUUUGUUUUAAUGUGUUUCUUUUUGUGUGUGUUUUUUAUUUUUGCCCUCUUGAAGCCAGUCAGCCUCGGCAGAUGGCUGUUCAUCCUGAGCCUGGUUCUGCUGGAGGUUUCUUCCUUUUAAAGGGAGUUAUCCUCUCCACUGUUGCCUUGUGCUUGCUCAGGAUGGGGGAUCCCUUGGAUUAAAUAUCCACCUUGAUCGGCUGGUGACCCCUCCGCAGAAUUGCCACCGAUUCGCCAACGAUCGGAGCCGCACUGCGAUUUCUCACCGAGAUCGCGGUGGAUCACAACCAAUGCCCCAUGAUCAACCAGAGCCCUGGUACGAAGAGGCGCCGUACCAUCAACCGAGGGCCUGCUGGGAACCGCCGCCGCGGUUUUGACCUGCGUCGCUCUUCCAGCCGGUACCGCCCUUCCAUGCUCCAUCUGCACGGCGCUGGGACUCGGGACCACGUGGGCAGCCUGCACCACGUUGGAACUCGGGGACACGGCGAAACUCGGUGCCACGUCCACAACCUUCACAGUGCCAGCAACCCAGAUUGCAACGACCGUCACAGGGACGCCGAAGACAGCGGGCGCGCAACCACUCUGCCCAGCGUCUGCAAUCCCAAGCGGAGGACCUCACGCUUCCUAACCAGGGGGGAGUGGGCCAGGCGCAGUCCACAGAUGACGGGGGUCGGUCGGACGAUCCAGACUUUUCUAAAAAUGUCUGGAUUGUCCACCGAAUCAUCAAGGUGACCCACCACCUACAUAAUGUUGCCGGGGACGAUACGGAGGACCUCCCGCCGUCCCUAAGGCGCCUCAUGGACCACCUGGUGGGGGUCAUAGUGCCCGCCUUCCCCACAGAAGAAACAAAGGCGAGGAUCGAGGCUAACGCCAAGGAAUGGACAGUUAACACCAUCCAGAUUCUGAGGCAGCACUAGAAAUCCUGUCUAGAAAGGAACCUGUACCUCUUGUUAGAGACCGGUCCGGGUGAUUGGGAGUCCACUUUCGUCGUGGCUACCAGGUGGGCUCGGCGUAACCUGGGAUGCCGCCUGCAGGACGCUACGGUGCACCAGGCUCACGCCUGGCUAGAGGAGCGGCUAUCUCAACCUGAGCCGGUGGCUGGUCCCUCACGGCUCAGUUCUGGGACCACAACGGAACCACAGGUCCAAACCGCGGGAGACAAUCAAGCUACUGUUCCGACACUGAACGUAGCCCGCCCGGGUUCCGAUGUGGACGGUCGGGGAAAGACCUUUCAGUCGGUUGGAACCAUGACUGAUCCGGUUCCAUCCGACUGGCCUUCAAGUCGGGCCGGGUCGGAGGCCGACGUAGCAGUCCCCAGUCCUUAACGUGGUGGAGGGGUUUGAGUAUCCCUAUGAACCAGAUGGAGAUUUUGUCUUGAGGUUCAGGCUUUAGUGAGGUUUCUCAGGACAGGAUGCCAUUGGGGAGGGAUCAGACUAAGAGCGAUUCAAGAUUUUCAGUGAAGGACUACCAAAGGGAUCAGGCAGUUAAGAAAUGGAUAGGAUAGAAUAUUUCUUCCUGUGAUUUCUUUGAGAUUUUUCUUGCACUUCCUUACUUAGAUAUUUUGCCCGUAUGGAUGGUCAUGUGUGCAAAUAGAGAGUAAUACAUAUGCCACUGUGAUGGAGUCCAGGGGCUCCAUCCCUAUUGAUUAUUGAUGUUUAUUUACAGAACAAAUUCUUUUUGUUGCAUUUCUUUAUUUCAGUGUGUUUUUGUUGGGUUAAUUGAGUCUUACCUUUCGGGUGUGUCUCCUCAGAAGGGUGGAGCAGAAAGGGAGACAAGUGCUCCAGGUGCAGUUAAAAGCUGGAGCAUACCAUGUCAACUAAUAGGGGUUAUGCUCUGAAAGUUUUAUUAAGUUUAAUUUAAUCUUUUGAUUGACCUUAAGAUUAGUUUGUUUCUAAUUUGCAUGCAUGUAAAUAUUUAUUUGUACCAUUAUUUUGUGUUAGGUUUGUGUAAAUAAUUUCUUGUUUUGUUUGUCACCCCUUUACCUGGUGUGGGUGGAAUUGGCCAAAGGAUAAAGCCAGCUUCUUUGUUUCACUGAGGAAAUGUUGGUCGGUGUAAUGGUGACCUGCAGCACCAAAUAAAGCUGCUCCAACUAGA